CCUGACCUCGUGAUCCGCCCACCUCGGCCUCCCAAAGUGCUGGGAUUACAGGCGUGAGCUACCACGCCCAGCCAAUAUACAACAUUCUUAACAUGGCAAAUUUCCCAUUAAGCUCAAGGCUUCUUAGAUCAUGCUUUUACAGCAUUUUCUAAAAAUAAUUGGCUUUUACACCCAGUAUCCUAUUAAACAUUAAGAAAAAAUAUCAGGCUGGGCACAGUGGCUCAUGCCUGUAAUCCCAGCACUUUGGAGGCCAAGGCAGGAGGAUCACUUGAGGUCAGGAGUUCGAGACUAGCCUGGCCAACAUGGUGAAACCCCACGUCUACUAAAGUACAAAAAUUAGCUGGGUGUGGUAGCGCAUGCCUGUAACCCCAGCCACUCAGGAGGCUGAGGCAUGAGAAUUGCUUGAACCUGGGAGGCGGAGGUUGCAGUGAGCUGAGACUGAGCCACUGCACUCCAGCCUGGGCAACAGAGUGAGACUCUGUCUCAAAAAAAAAAGAAAAGAAAAAAAGAAAAAAAAUCAGUAGUCAGUAAAACUGUGGGAAGGAAGAAAUAGGCCAAUAGCAAGAUAUAUGUUCCUUUUAAAAGCACCAAGUGUCAGAUUAUGUAAGGGUUCUUCUAGGAAAACUUGCAAAACAUAUGGUUUAUGUGGUAUAUAUUGUGUGUUUCCCUUCACAUAUGCUGUAAUAUAAAAUUGGGGGUCAGGUGUGGGGAAAGUUGCUUUAACUAUAGCUACAAUGUCUUGAUAUUUUCUAAAAAUACCAGCUUUUAUGUUAUAGAUGCCUAGUCUUUUAAAAACUCCUCAACAUUUAUCUUCUAAUCAAAUAAAUAUACUAUUAAUGAUUAUUCAGUGGUCUAUGGUAGUGUCCUAAAAAUAGAACUUAUUGAUAUAAUCAGAACUUACAUGAUGUUGCUAACAAGGUUUGAAUUUCUCCAUAUAUAAUAUUUCCUGAAAACAGGCUUAUGCUGAAGAGUACCUGACCUUCUUUAUAGGCCUUACAAUCUAUUUUUAUCUUGAAAAUAUUUGGCAUUUCCUCCAUCCCUAAGGGUUUGAGAUUAUCUUAGAUUGUCAAGUUACUUAAAAGAUGCUAUUCCAAGGCUGGGCAUGGUAGCUCACACCUGUAAUCCCAGCACUUUGGGAG
rnacentral:lncRNA from 10 species